GACGAACGCUGGCGGCGUGCUUAACACAUGCAAGUCGAACGGAAAGGCCCUGCUUUUGUGGGGUGCUCGAGUGGCGAACGGGUGAGUAACACGUGAGUAACCUGCCCUUGACUUUGGGAUAACUUCAGGAAACUGGGGCUAAUACCGGAUAGGAGCUCCUGCUGCAUGGUGGGGGUUGGAAAGUUUCGGCGGUUGGGGAUGGACUCGCGGCUUAUCAGCUUGUUGGUGGGGUAGUGGCUUACCAAGGCUUUGACGGGUAGCCGGCCUGAGAGGGUGACCGGCCACAUUGGGACUGAGGUACGGCCCAGACUCCUACGGGAGGCAGCAGUGGGGAAUAUUGCACAAUGGGCGGAAGCCUGAUGCAGCAACGCCGCGUGCGGGAUGACGGCUUUCGGGUUGUAAACCGCUUUCGCCUGUGACGAAGCGUGAGUGACGGUAAUGGGUAAAGAAGCACCGGCUAACUACGUG
rnacentral:rRNA from 1 species